ACCAAACAGCGCUGCCAGAACAAAGUUUUCAUCUUGCUGUUGAAAUUGAAACAAAAAUAAAUCAAAAAGGAUACCAGAUUAAUAUCGUGUUGAUGAACAGUAACCCACCACCAACAACUUGAAAUUAUUAACAUCACAAAACGUAAUAUUUUCAACAACAAUGGUUUUAGGUCAGCCAAAUGUUCAUCUUACUGGAAUCAAUUUGGUCCAAUAAGUUAAUGAAUAUCUAUUAAUUCAUAAAUUGUGGGAAAAGGUGCAAAAAUGAACCCAAAUUUGAAACGGAUUACAUAAGCAAAUGGAUCAUGUUGGCAGGUUUGUCAAAAGACACUUAACACCAUCAUAAAUGGUAUAAAGAAUCGAGGAAAAUAUCAUUAUUUUCGUGUUAAUCAACGGAAAGAAAGGCGAUAAGCAAAGAUGAAAAACCGCAAAAUAUUUACAAUUACUUAUUGGAGAGAUUGGAUUAAAUUCAAAGUAAUAACAAGCUAAAGAAAUGCAGCAAACUCGCAACUCUAAUUGCAGUCAAAUUUACAGUUUAAAUUAUCAAAUUAUCAUCAUCACUAGCACCAUAUAAUGAAAACAAUGGAACCCGAAAACAUCAUUAUUACGUAUUCCUUUCAAAUGAAGCCUUUACAUCAUUCAAAGUGAACCCAUCUUCAUCGUCAUUAUGACUGACCAAUUAUAAUAAUAACACACAUCAAAGUCAUAAGUGUGUGGCGAUUUGUUAACAUUAAUGCGUUGGAGGACAGUGAUUAAGAAGAUAAUAUAAUUGGUGUUCUGUAAACUAUAAUUAAAGCCUAUUGAACUUUCAUAACAACGAGGUUAAAAGUUAUCUCACGAUGAAGUAUUCAGAUGAAGAUGAACAAGAGUGAAAAAAAACAUUGAUAAUCAACAAUCUGAGCAAUUGUAAGGAGGCUAAAGACCACGAGGAUGAAAAAAACAAACGAUUCAAGAGGUUUCAAGAUUCAACAUUUAACCUGUAAACGGUUUCUUGAUUACAAUUGGACAGUCAAGCUUGAAACCCAAAAUUUGGUUAAAUGUCGCCCAACCUGGACCAAUUACAACCAAAAUAACUUGCCUCCGAGGUGACUUUACUUACAAGAAAGUGAAUCUCAUCAAGUUCAUUAAAAAUCGCAAUAUUUAAAAUUUAUAAAUAGCUCAGGAAAAGGUCAUCAAAACUAGUAUCAAAAUUUUUCAUCAAAAUUAGCAAAAAGUUACAUUUAAAUUGCCUGUAAAACCCUAUUAUCAGGUCACUUAAAGCUCAAAUUUUUCAGGCGUUUCAACUUUACUUUCUCAAGAGAAAUGUACUUUAUUAUCCAGAAAGUAUUAAUUCAUGAAUUUUUGUAUAUUUAUAAAUGAUACCAUUUAAAUGUUCAUUUUGUGUAGGCUGACAAAGUAAACUAUGGUUUUUUGCUGAUAAAUUGCUUCAACGUUUCAGGUAAAGUAUCAUUUUUUUCAACAAUAUUUGAAUAUAAUUUGGUUCAGAAAAAAGAUCAAUUCACGAAUUUAUCGUAACCUUUAAUUUUUAUUUUAUUUUCCCGUUUAUUUUCAUUCUCAAGCAGACAUAAUUUCAAUUCUGGUGUUGGUAUGAAGAGGAUAAAGGCAAUUCUCAGAUUCUCAAGAAUAUAAAGCAUUUCUCUUGAUCAUCAAUUAUAAUAAUUGUAAGUUUAAAAGAUUCUCAUCGUCAAAACUGAACCAUUAUUAACAUUACUAUUGUUUUCACUUCCGAAGUACACAAGGAAUUCCUAUUCACGGAAUCAGAAAAAAAGAGGAUGAAAUUGGAACAGGUUCAACUGAUGGAAACAAUGAAAUACAUUCGCAACUGACACUGAAAACGAUAAAUCUAAAUUAAUUAGCAAAUUGAAAGAUGGAUCCAUGGAAAAGCAUGUAAAGUUUGAGCAAUUGGCACACCUAAUAACAGAUUCAUUGUAAAAAAUAUUCAUUUCAUCCUUCAAACAGAUGCAUGUUCAAUGGAUCCAUGUCUGUCAACACCCAAAACCCUGUUUUUUCAACAAAAAAAACCAAAAGAAAGGAACAGAAAUUUUCCUUUUGAAGGUAAUAAUGUUAAAAAAAGGUUUAUAAUAAUUUGAUUGCUAUUUUAUUUGUACAAUAAUAAUCCUAAUGAUGUAUUGAAUUGUUGAAUACAAGGAAAUGUACAUUUACCAAUAGCUUGAACCUUUAGUUCAACAGUCUUUCAAGCAGAACAAUUUAACCUCUCGUCAGUUUACUUAAUAACAUGCAUCCUAAAAACAACACAAAUUACACUUAAAUUACAUGUAAAACACCAUUAUUGCAAUUUAAUUUAAUUUUUCUGCUUCAAUUUGGUCUGUUAACCUUCAAAUAAUACCUUUAAUCUGGUUCCAGCUUUAUCGACUAAGGAAAUUCAAUUUGAGAUUAUUGGAUAAUUUAAUGAUGGAUUCAGUUUUAAUGGAAUUGGCCGCUGUUGGAAGUGACAAUCAAAGUUAAUCAGUUGAUUCAUUUAAUUUACUAAUUGCUGCAAUUGCUGAGCAAAGCACAGACAACAAGCCUGAUAGAUCAACAAUUUCACAUCGCUUAUGGAUCAGUCUAACAUGGAUCUUGCAAGAAAGCCAAAAGCUAAACCAAAAGCUAAAUAUAACGAUUUACAGAAAACAAUUUAGACAUUCCAAGAUAAUUAACUGUAAAGAUGUAAAUCAGUGAUCAAUUGAUGUUAACUUGGAGCAAACUAUAAACCAAUCUUAAUCUGAAAAACGGUUUAACCCAAAAUCAUUCAAUUACGGUUUACAAUAUUUUGCUGAAACAACAGCUUUUUUCAUUCACGAUUCUGGUAAUAGAUUGUUUCAAUUGGUGGUUUUGAGGUUAUUCAUUAUCAAUAAUUAACAAUUAUGAAUAACCAUGAUCUUCAUCAAAGAUAAUCAUCAAGAGUACAAAAAAGAUGAAAAGAAGGGCUAAAAAUGGCAAAAUUUCAUUGACGUUUCGCUUCAAGUUUAUCUGAUGGCAAUAUUUCAGUGAUUUGAUGAAGAGAAGGAAGCAAUUUGAGCUGACAAUUUAUGGUAACAAUUAACAUUGCAAGAUAAAUUGUCAUUAAACAAUUGAAACUUUUGCUUUCAAAGGUUAACCAAACAAGUAAAGCAUGAAAUUUUGUUUCACUGUUUAACCUUAAAUAGAGGGACAAAAAAAGGUCACUGACUUGGGUUCUAAAUCAUAUUGUAUCAUAUUGUAACCCUUUAAAUAGUAAAUGAAACAAUCAUAAUAAUCAUUAUUAUCAUUUCAAUUAAAAGUAAAUUCAAUGAGAUGGAAGUGAAAUUGGAAGAAAUCAAAGGAAAGUUUCAGUUAGCAAAUCAACUUUUUGAUUUGGAUGAUUAAGUUUUUGAUUAAAAAACCUUUUCCACUUUACUUUCUCAUGAUAAGUCUGAGUUAUUAUUUCAACCUCUAACUGUUAUUUUACUAAAAUAACUUGCCAGCUGAUUUUCACCAUUUAGUUUCAUUGUUUUCCUCACAAUCUCUUGUCCAUCUCAACCUUCUUGUACCAUUUAAUUGCAAUUGUUUCUUCAAAUUCAAUUGUUUAAUAUAAUUUUGGAUUAAAUUUCGUUUCUCUUUUCCAAACUCUUUUAGAAUCGACAUGGCAAGACAAUUAACAAUUCAUCGAAUCAGCAAACUGAUAGAUUUACAUGAACAUAGUCACAGGUUCAUUAAACCUUCGUAUUUAUCUAGGAAUAACAGUUAUCUGUUUACGGAAAGAUGAACACAUUGUAAAGACUGAUUACCUGGAAACACUUAACUCAAUGAUAACUAUCAAAGCUUCUUAAUGUUGGCAAUGUUGGAACUGUUCAUUUUGGCAACAAUUAGAAAGGUGAAAUUACUCAACAAGUCAUGAUAAUUAUGAUGAUGAUUAAACAAGAAGGUAAUUCAUCAUCAAUCGUUCAACAAUGUUAAUACAUUAGGAUUCUUGUUUGACCAUAAACAUCACGAAUUAACCAUUUAACCAAUCAACAAGAAUUCAUUUGAUACAAAGUUUAUUCAACGAUUUGAUGGAAAAAAAAUGUUUCACAUGGAAGUCGGAAGUUGACAAGCAGAGGAAGUUGAACCCAAAUCAAAGCUGAUUAGUGAACAGUUGAAAGGUUGGAAAAAAAGAGAUCGACAUUUGACGGAUUUCGGUAGGAAAUGAAGUUCACCAAGUUUUUACCCCAAGAAACACGAAAGGGUACAAAAGGAGGAAAGGCCAAAAUUGAUGUGUGUUAUGAUUGAUCAGGAGUGGGUGAAGGCAGGAGAUAAUUCAGUGAAGAUGAAGGGAUGGAAAAGCGGAAGAAGGUCGAGUUAACACGUUGAGGUGAUCAAGAUAAUCAUUAGCUGUGUUUAGUGUUGUGUUAAUUUAGUUGAGAAAACAUUUUUCAUUCAAAUAAGACAAUGGAUUAAGGUUGACAAAAUUGAACAACCAAAUGAGUUGAGAAAAUUUUGCCUUUUUUUUGCUCAUCUCAUUUGUUUUAUUGUAACUGUGUGAAAACAUUUCAUGAUGUUACCUUGGAAUGAGAAUGAAAAACGAAAUGAACAUUUCAUGCAUUUCAAAGUUGAUCUUCUUUAUGAUUAACUUUGGGUUAACUUGGUCUCACCAUGAAGACUAACAUUUUGUCUUCAACAGUAUAAUUGAAAUUACACUUAAGGUAAACAUUUAAAUGAUUGUUUCACCUUUUAUUUUCACAGAUUAAGUUGAAUGAUUGGUGAAAGAAACCAGUAAAUUGAGAUAGUUUAUUAGAUUAAUCAUGAGACAAAUGAAUGAUCUCAAUUGAUGGUUAAAGAAGGUUAAACAAAGCAUCAGAUUGUUAGCUAAUCAAGUAUUUAAAUUGACCAAGAAUAGAGAUUACAAUUGGAUAAUUGUAUUAAAAUAAGAUCAAAAUGAACUUUCAACUUGGGAAACCUUUUCAUUGAUUUCAAGUCUUUCAACCUAAAAUGGAUUAACUAAAAUUAAAGGUUCCACUUUAACCAACAAAACCAACAAUUAUUCAGGGGUUCAAUGGACAAUUCAACCUAAAGAGUUAACAAAUUGCUCGGAUUGGAAACGAUUGGCAGAUGAUUGAAUCUUUGUUGUGACUAACCAUCAAUCAAACACAGGAUUGGCUUUACCUGAAAGGCGCUUAGGUGAUCUAAGAUUUCUUGAUUUUCAAAAACAAACCUUGAAAUAAUCGGGAAACACAGAAACACAAUUACUUGAUAAACCACUUUUGAACCAGACUUGGAAACCAGAAAAUCAAAUGAAAUGGGAAAAUAUUAAGAAAUUAAAGGAAAGUGAAAUUGCGAUUGAAUCAAAGACUAUUUUCAUCGGUAUAUUUGUAAUUAAGGGACAGAAAGUGAUCAAAACUGGUUGUCAAGGAAAGGUGAAUCAUUACCGUUAUUAUUUCAAUCAGGUUUCCAUCAACUAUCAGAUUUAACUAAACAAAUAAGGUCACCAAACAUGAUUUGGUUUACUGAGUUAGUCAAUGGAAAAGAUUAAUCAUUCAAAAUAACUGUAAUUGUAAUCAUGAUAAUUGGUAAAAAAUUUUCAACAUUUGCAUCAUUCAAUAUUAAACCAUUUUCCCAUAUCAAUCAUUCAAUGUAAUUAUUAAAUUGUAUAAACCAUUAAAUAUAACGGCAGGCUUGAAAUUACAGACAAAAAUAUAAAACGUUUUUACCAGUUUUUUAAUGUCUUCAGCAAUACAUUUGACCUGGUCAAUCGUUUUUUGCUGUGAUUUACAGAUUUGACUUUUUUUAUUUCCAAUCAAUUUAACAAUCUUUUAAUCAAUUAACCAAUUCUUGUUUUUCACUUGAUUAACUAAUGAUCAUCAUUUAAUGAUUGAUUGAGGGAAAAAAGACGAUUUCUAAUAAUACAAUGUAAAAACACUAUCAGUUAUACCCUCAAGUGGCUUAACAUUGAAUUGGUAUUUGGUUGUCGUUUGAAUCACAAUUGUCUAAUAAUUAGUUAACUUCAAUUUGAUUGUUAUGAUAAUUCAAAGCAAUCAGCUAUUGAUAAUGAUUUGAAUUGCAAUACCAAUUUCUUGACAAUAAGUAGGCCUCUUCAUUUCAUUGAGUUAACCUUUCCAAUUAAUUGAUAGUUAAUUUCAAAGGUGAUUUAAGUUUAAGAAGAUUUAGAAAGACCCAAUUAAUGGUUGACCAAUCUAGCAGUUAAUUAAAACUGACCAUAAACUGUGAAGCAAAUUGUCGACAGUCGACAGUAAAACUGUAAAAGUCAGCCUUUUGAAAAUAUAUUCAUUCGGUUGUUGAAUUAUCAGGUAAAAUGUACGAUUAGACUUAAUUGCCAGUGAUAAGUUACGAUUAAACUGAUAUGAGAUUCAACCGUCUUUUUGGGUAAACAAAGCCAGUUGGAUAAUAGUCUGACAUUGUGAAUGUAAGUCUAUCCUAAGAAGAUAUAUUUUACCAGUAAAUUUGAUCUGUUGAGUUAUGAUUGCAAUUUACAAGGUUGAUGAAUAUGAUCAAGUGUUGAUUGUUGUAAAAUAAUUACA